CUCUGCCUUUUAGCCGUCAAGACUCUUCUUGCCCAAAUCUGAAGAUCUUUGGUGGAAGAGACAAAAAGUUGCUACAACUAUACCUUCCUUGCUCGUUUCUCACUCAAGUGUAAGUGUCGUGAAAAUAGUGCCUAAUCCAUUGGGCUUUCACGCUGUGUUUCUGAGGCUCUUCCGUGGGGCAGACAUAACUAAAAUGGAUGUCUACGACCAUUGCUAACUUCCUGCCUGGAUGGAAGUUGGCUCAGGAAUUCUAACAAGACAGAGCACUUAAUGGGUCUUUCAAACACAUAAUCAUUUUUGCUUGGUAGAAGAGCAAAUGGGUUUUGCCAUGAAGAUAGCAGCCAUGAAGACUGGUGUCAUGAACGAAAGGAUAUGCACAGCUUGACACGUGUUUCAUCACUUCAGAUGCUUUUAAGAGCUGCGUUAGUUGUUUUGUUUAAUAGAAUAAUGAUUACUAUUUGACUGUUUUAAUUGACUAGAAUAGUGCAUUGCUCAGAGGAGGUUUAUGAGAUACAAAUGCAUUGUAAGCAUUAUUAGUUAUUAAAAGAGAAGUAAAAUGUAAGAAUACCCGAAGGACUUGUUAUUCUGAUGCUGUUGUUUAGAUGGUAAGUUUUACCUUAAUUUUUAAAUAUUAAAGCUAGGUCUGGAGAGACAAUUCAAAUGUUAAGAGCACUUACUGCUUUUCCAGAGGACAUAAGUUCAGUUCCCAGCACCAUCAGACAGUUCACAACUGCCCAUACCUCCAGUUUCGGGAGAGCUGACG